AUUGAACGCUGGCGGCAGGCCUAACACAUGCAAGUCGAGCGGCAGCGGGAAAGUAGCUUGCUACUUUUGCCGGCGAGCGGCGGACGGGUGAGUAAUGCCUGGGAAAUUGCCCAGUCGAGGGGGAUAACAGUUGGAAACGACUGCUAAUACCGCAUACGCCCUACGGGGGAAAGCAGGGGACCUUCGGGCCUUGCGCGAUUGGAUAUGCCCAGGUGGGAUUAGCUAGUUGGUGAGGUAAUGGCUCACCAAGGCGACGAUCCCUAGCUGGUCUGAGAGGAUGAUCAGUCACACUGGAGCUGAGACACGGUCCAGACUCCGACGGGAGGCAGCAGUGGGGAAUAUUGCACAAUGGGGGAAACCCUGAUGCAGCCAUGCCGCGUGUGUGAAGAAGGCCUUCGGGUUGUAAAGCACUUUCAGCGAGGAGGAAAGGUUGAUGCCUAAUACGUAUCAACUGUGACGUUACUCGCAGAAGAAGCACCGGCUAACUCCGUGCCAGCCGCCGCAGUAACAC
rnacentral:rRNA from 1 species